AUUCCGGAGAAGGAGCUUGAGAAUUGGCUACUACAUCUAAGGAAGGCAGCAGGCGCGCAAAUUACCCAAUCCCGAUUCGGGGAGGUAGUGACAAAAAAUAACAAUACCGGGCCUUUUUGGGCUUGGUAAUUGGAAUGAGGGAGAGUUAAACGGACCAUCGAGUAUCCAUUGGAGGGCAAGUCUGGUGCCAGCAGCUGCGGUAAUACCAGCUCCAAUAGCGUAUAUUAAAGUUGUUGCAGUUAAAAAGCUCGUAGUUGGACUUGUGUGCGCUGUCCGCGGGUGGCCUGCGCCCAAAAGGGCGUUUCGGUUCGGCCCCGGUGGCGCCUUGAAAUCUGCAGCUGGGGGGACGUUGGCCUUAACUGGUCGGCGACCGCACGCCGGCUGCUCGGUUACUGUGAGAAAAUUAGAGUGUUCAAGGCAGGCAUUGGGUGCAAUUGAAUACAUUAGCAUGGAAUAAUAAAAUAUGGCUCCUGCCGUAUUUUGUUGGUUUUGACUGGUGGGAGUAAUGAUUGAUAGGGACGGUUGGGGGUGCUAGUAUUGAGCGGCCAGAGGUGAAAUUCAUGGAUUCGCUCAAGACUAACUUAUGCGAAAGCAUUCACCAAGGACGUCCUCUUUAAUCAAGAACGAAAGUUGGGGGAUCGAAGACGAUCAGAUACCGUCGUAGUCUCAACCAUAAACUAUGUCGACUUGGGAUCGGCGGUAGUUUUUUCAUUAAGACACUGUCGGGACCACGGGAGAAAUCAAAGUGUCUGGACUCUGGGGGAAGUAUGGUCGCAAGGCUGAAACUUGAAGGAAUUGACGGAAGGGCACCACCAGGAGUGGAGCCUGCGGCUUAAUUUGACAACACGGGGAAACUUACCAGGUCCAGAGAUGUAGAGGAUUGACAGAUUGAAGCUCUUUCUUGAUCACUUCGGUGGUGGUGCAUGGCCGUUCUUAGUUGGUGGAGUGAUUUGUCUGGUUAAUUCCGUUAACGAACGAGACCUCAGCCUGCUAGUGUAGUCGGCUGGAUUGCCUUUGGCGAUCCGUGAUUUCGACUUCUUAGAGGGACAAUCGACGCGCAGUCGAUGGAAGUUUGAGGCAAUAACAGGUCUGUGAUGCCCUUAGAUGUUCUGGGCCGCAUGCGCGCUACACUGCUGGGCUCAGCGAGUUUUACUUGGCCGAGAGGCCCGGUUAAUCUUGUGAAAUCCCAGCGUGCUUGGGCUCGCCUCCUGCAACUGGGGGCGCCAACGAGGAAUUCCUAGUAGACGCAGGUCAUCAACCUGCAUCGAUUACGUCCCUGCCCUUUGUACACACCGCCCGUCGUUCCAUAAGAGUGAGGCAUCCGGUGAAUUCUCGGGAGAGCCUGGGCGUGGCCAGCAAUGGUCUGCUCGGGUUUGAACUUGCAUAAACUUGGUGCCUAUGAUUAGGGAAAAGUCGUAACAAGGUU
rnacentral:rRNA from 1 species